AUGUAUGACUGUGUGGGCGCGCGCGCGCGCGCGCCCGUGUUGCGGGGGUUGAGAGUAAGUCAGCUUCCAGGCGAUCUGCUGUGUGGUGACUAUGCCUGCUCAAGCGAAACCCCCCUCUCUCUAGUGUUGCUUUGCUACAUAGCGCAGAUUUUCGUCUUUCUUUUGGCGCGCCCGUGCCUACUGUGUAAGAAGAAAGGAGUGCCAUGUCUGAACCCAAGGUGGCUGCCAUAUUGAAAAGAGAUGGAUUUCCUAGGAGACCUCAAAGAGAGAAAUUUUUUCCAUGUUCAAAAAGUGUGGCUUCAGAGACAUCAUGGAAGACAUGGGGAGGAAGAACAAAGUUGGAAGCCAAUUUCCUUGUUCCAUGUGACUUUAUCUUUAAAUUCUGGUCCUAAAGUCUUAAUAUUUACAUUUGCAUAUGUUCUCUGGAAGGCCUUAAAUUUUCUGUAAUUUUCAAUUAAGAACCAAAGAAUUUAUAGUGAAUGAGAUUAGAAAUAUUUAACCAAUCCUCUACAUUUUACAAAUCAGUAGAGGAACUGAGACCCAAAGAGAUUGUGAUUUGCCCAAGGACACAAAUAAAAAGUGGCCUUUCCUCA
rnacentral:lncRNA from 1 species